rnacentral:pre_miRNA from 1 species
CCUGGUUUCCGUGUCUAACAUUUAAUCGUCCGUCUUAUUUAAAAAAAAUUAUGAAAAAAAAUUAAAAAUAUAAGCCACGCAUAAAGUAUUAAUCAUGUUUUAUCAUCUAACAACAACGAAAAUAAUAAUUAUAAAAAAAAUCAUAUAAGACAGACAGUUAAAUGUUGGCACGGGAACCCACAGUUUGUCUUUUU